CAAGUGAAGAAGCGCAUACGGUGGAUGCCUUGGCAGUCAGAGGCGAUGAAAGACGUGGUAGCCUGCGAUAAGCUUCGGGGAGGCGGCAAACAGACUUUGAUCCGGAGAUCUCUGAAUGGGGGAACCCACCUGGCAUAAGUCAGGUAUCUUGUACUGAAUACAUAGGUGCAAGAGGCGAACCAGGGGAACUGAAACAUCUAAG
rnacentral:rRNA from 1 species